rnacentral:lncRNA from 10 species
CCAAGAUGGCGCCACAGCUGCUGUGGGACUGGCCGGUGGAUGAAACUGCGGACAUAUUCCUGGCUUCCCCGUGGUCUCCUUGGGGUAGGAAGGGAGUCCAGGUGUCCGCUGGGGUCUUGCUGAAGGGAUGCAGUGGGGGCGUAAAGAGUGACAGCCCUUGCUCACCACCAACCAGCCAGCAAAUGGAAUCACAAUGCCUGCAUCUGCAGAGAAGACGUCCCAAUGUAGAGUGUCCGUUAGAAUGCACAUCCUCACUUGUACCAAGCAGCUGGAAACUGAUCGAGCUGCCUGAUUUAAGUCACAAGGCUUCAGAAAAG